CCUCCUCGGCUCGUCACGGUCUCGCGGCACGGACUGAGCGCGACCGCGCGAGGUGAACCCUAGGCGACCGGCGGCGGCGCGGCGGCGCGGCGAGGCGGAGGCGAGGGCGCGGUGGCCUGCUGCCCUGCUGCUGCCUGCGCAGAGCCGGAGCGGGCUGCGGCCUGCGGACUGCGGUCGUGCGUGUGGCGGCGCGGUGUCGCGGCGAGGCGGAGGCGAGGGUGCGGUGGCCUGCUGCCCUGCUGCUGCCUGCGUGGAGCGCCGGAGCCGGAGCGGGCUGCAGCCUGCGGACUGCGGUCGCGCGUGCGGCGGCGCAGCGUCGCGGCGAGGCGGAGGCGAGGGCGCGGUGGCCUGCUGCCCUGCUGCUGCCUGCGCGGAGCGCCGGAGCCGGAGCGGGCUGCUGCCUGCGGACUGCGGACUGCGGUCGCGCGUGAGGCGGCACGGUGUCGCGGCGAGGCGGAGGCGAGGGCGCGGUGGCCUGCUGCCCCGCUGCUGCCUGCGCGGAGCCAGUGCCCAGUGCUCGCUAGUUGCUCCGUUCAGUUUAGUAUUGCUUGGUUUACAAAAUGAAGAACAAAUCAAAAUCGGUUGAUUUGAGGACUUUGUGGGAUAGAGCAGCAAAAACAAGGUGGUUUUGAAGAAUGCCCCAAAGAAUUGGCAGUUGUUUGCUCCUCAAAUUCAAAAAGAGAUAGCUAAUUGUUGUGAGGAGAACAUCGACUUUGUGAGGAACAACCGCUCCUCUGACCUCAAAGCCAUCACAAAUCAGGAUAAUGGUCGGCAGCGUGGGGUGUGCAAGGUGCUAAUAAGACUGACUACCAGAGGUUUGCGAAAGUGCAGCAAGAUGUUUAUGGAAAUGCUACCUUUGGAUGGGCUUACUGGACACUUCAGAACCCCUUUCUACCCUGGAACAUGACGUAUAUGAUUCAGAAUGGAAUCAUCACACUCAAGAGCUAGAGAUCAUCUAUGGUAAAUCCAACUUCCUAAAGUAUGGUGAUAUCAUCCUCCAUGGCAAAGAGCGGUCCUGGCAGUCAUGCCACGGCGUCUAGCAUCCACAAUGCCACGUCAUUGCUGCCAGGCAAUGGCAUCCUAUCUCCCUAAAUAGAAUAGUUUAGUGGCUAAAUGAAAGUUAAUAUAUCAUCCUAGAAUUUAUAUUCUAUAAAAGUGAAUUGAAAUAUAAGAAAACAUCUCACCUUCCACGCUCCUUUUAAGUCCUUUUUUUGGUGAAGCUAUAAGUUUUCUGAAACAAAGAGCAGAAUUAAGUAUUUAUGGUCUAGCUCAAGCACUGACUCAGAGAGCAAUCCAUAGAGAAAACAAAUGUUGAGUACACUAUUGUGUGAGUGUUUCUGUUUU